rnacentral:rRNA from 1 species
UACGUAGGAGGCAAGCGUUGUCCGGAGUUACUGGGCGUAAAGGGCCCGCAGGCGGUGGAGUAAGUUUGGAGUGACAGUUCCCAGCUUAACCGGGAAAGGACUUCGAAAACUGCUCGACUUGAGGACUGGAGAGGAAGGCGGAAUUCCGGGUGGAGCGGUGAAAUGCGUAGAGAUCCGGAGGAACACCGACGGCGAAGGCAGCCUUCUGGAAAGUACCUGACGCUGAGGGGCGAAAGCUAGGGGAGCGAACAGG